UACGGGGGGAACAAGCGUUGUUCGGAUUUACUGGGCGUAAAGGGCGCGUAGGCGGCCAGCACAAGUCAGUUGUGAAAUCUCCGAGCUUAACUCGGAAAGGUCAACUGAUACUGUGCGACUAGAGUGCGGAAGGGGCAACUGGAAUUCUUGGUGUAGCGGUGAAAUGCGUAGAUAUCAAGAGGAACACCUGCGGCGAAGGCGGGUUGCUGGGCCGACACUGACGCUGAGGCGCGAAAGCUAGGGGAGCGAACGGG
rnacentral:rRNA from 1 species